AAAGCGUGGGGAGCGAACAGGAUUAGAUACCCUGGUAGUCCACGCGGUAAACGAUGAGUGCUAAGUGUUAGAGGGUUUCCGCCCUUUAGUGCUGCAGCAAACGCAUUAAGCACUCCGCCUGGGGAGUACGGUCGCAAGACUGAAACUCAAAGGAAUUGACGGGGGCCCGCACAAGCGGUGGAGCAUGUGGUUUAAUUCGAAGCAACGCGAAGAACCUUACCAGGUCUUGACAUCCUUUGACAACCCUAGAGAUAGGGCUUCCCCUUCGGGGGCAGAGUGACAGGUGGUGCAUGGUCGUCGUCAGCUCGGGUCGUGAGAUGUUGGGUUAAGUCCCGCAACGAGCGCAACCCUUGAUCUUAGUUGCCAGCAUUCAGUUGGGCACUCUAAGGUGACUG
rnacentral:rRNA from 1 species